AGCCCGGCGGCGGACAGGCCUCUCGCCAACCCGGCCAGGUCCGGAAGGAAGCAGCCGUAACGAGUUCCGGUCUGGGUCGUCCGUCCGGUCUCCC
rnacentral:SRP_RNA from 1 species